UGUUUGCUCCUUUGUCCCGCAGAGACAUCGUGCAACGACUUCAAGUGCAAGACCAGGGAGUUCUGCAUCCACACGGACCUGGUCUGCGACGGCGUCAGCCACUGCGCGGACGGCAGCGACGAGACCGCCAGCGAGAAAUGCGGACGUGGCGAGAUCGGGCUGGUCCUGGGAAUGUCCGUCACCUACCUGGUGGUGGCGUGCGUGUCCGCCGUGCUCAUCCUGGGGCUGGCCGGCGUCGGCGUGGUGGUGUGCUUCUACCGGCAAGGCCCGGGACCGGCUCAAAUGGGCGCCAACUCCUUCCAACCGGUGCACCACGGCGGUCUCAACGGCACGGGCCACACAGGCCCGGGGCUGAACCACGGCCACACCAGCCUGACCCGCGGCGGCGCGGGCCCGCUGGGGGCGCUGGGACCGCCGCAGCCGCUGGGAGGGCCGCCGGCGCACACCCUCUCUCUGAUGCAGCCGGGAAACUGGUUAUGCCCUGUGGGAACACAGCUCGGGUACAGCGCGGUGUGGGCCCACCUCUACUACUGCCUGGCAAAGUGAGGAGUGAUGGCUCAGACAGCGACAUCUCCUCCAGCCAAAAGGACGAAUGGUUUGUUUAGAGGUAGGCCCUGCCGAGUGUCUUGCAGGGUGAAGCCCGUGCCGAGGGACGUACCCACCCUCGGCCGGCAGCGCAACCAGCUCGGGUGGUUGCGAACGAUUCAACUUAGGGAGCCGCUGGCCGCGUGGCGCGCACGGCGUUCCCACGGCCAACACAACACAACACGCUGGCCGCGACGCCGCACGGACGCGCGCACGUGCAAGGCGGUGCUGAAGACUGACGCUGCUCUCGCUUGCAUUCCGUCUCCCGCCCGCGUGCAGCGGCGAGGACACGAGUGACAAUAGUGCGUGCGGAUAGGACGCGGCGCAGAGAGCCCUAAAUAGUACAAUUUUUAGUUAAUUCUGGACAUGAGCGCCGCCUCUCCACACGAUGGUGCAACGUGAUUAAAACGCGUCUCCAACUUGUAAAAAAGAAAAGCAAAGAUAUAUCACGUGGAUUUUUUUUGUUGGUGUGUAAAUCGAUACGAUCGUUUGCAUAAUUGUACUAUUGAUAGUUUAUAGAUGUUUUACCACUUUUCAUUUUGUUACCAAGCAGAUUUUAUAGAUGUGUGUAUAUAAAGCGCUGCGGUAGCUCAAAUAGACUUAUCAGUGAAUGUAAUUGUUUUGUUUUUUGUUGUUUGUUUUGUCUUGUUAAGCAAUGGCUCUAAAUGGAUUGGCUAAUGGCUACACUGUAAAUCCCGGGUGUCCAGCAGGUAGACGACUAAAUUUCUCAGUCCCCAAAUGCCUGGUGAAUAGUUCAGUCGGCAACCCACAAAACACCUGCUUGUUCUGCGGCAUAACUUUAUGGUAUGAAUCCUCGAUCGUUUACAUCAGCCCUGUAGUAGUUGCCCAGCAGACCACAAGAUGUCAGGUUGGUGGCUGACCUUAGCUAACAAGUCACUGGUUUUCGGAGUCAGGCGACUUAUGAGCUUAACUGCUGUAUCGGGUGUACUAAAGCGCAACGCUGCAGUGCUGUAGCAUUGCAUAUCAUCUUGAGCUGCGGGAGCCAUAGCGCCUUGCGCGCGGAGAGUAGGCAAACCCGCAACACGAAAUCCAUGUCAAAUGCCUCUGCAAAAAUGUCUGGAAGCCACUUAUUGUUUUUUCCUUCAGUUGUAAUAAUAGAGCAUCGUGAUAAGUCUAUUUAUUGCUCACUGCUUGAAGAAAAGUGUUAAGUACUGCCGAUGCCGAUAUAUUGCAAGCUUCACACACUGCGUUGAGUGAAACGUUUUUGUCGUCAAAAAGUCCUCUCAUGUGAGUACUCUGUCGUAAUUUUUUCUACUUUUCAGUUUGGUUUCCUAGAGAAAGGUAUCGGCAAUAUGUUGGCACGACCUGAUUGUGAUACGAAGCAUACCAGUAUAAACAUAUCUAUAUCUGUUGAUUAUUGUGUGAGGUGACUUUCGGCGGUCGUUUUGUUGGCGAUGGCUGCAUUAUCAAAACAGCGCCGUACCGCGAGGUUUUUUUAGUUGGGAGUUCUUUUCCAACAGCGAUUGUUGCAAAGACGAAUAAUGUCUGAAAGCUCAUUUGCGUGUUGUCUGAGCUCUAGGAAAAGCUCAUAUUUCAUUUAUUUUGCAUAUCAUAUUACUCAAAGUAGAAAAUCUAUGCCAUUUUUCUAACGAAUUUCGUUGUAGAAUCAAAUUUGUGUACACCAUGUACCAAUGACAGUUGGUUGUUCUUAUUAUACUGUGUGAUAUUUUCUUUAAUGUCUUAUUUUGUAGGAUCGAUAUUAUGCCGUUAACUGGACCUAUAACAUUUCGUAACAAAAAAUCAUAUCGAGUAUUUCAGUUUAAAUUGUGUCUUUUUAAAAAAUAAAUAAUUUAAACCUACAGUCUUAGACUCCAUAUCACAUGGGAUGGCAUAGUUAUGGUACGAAACUAAUGCAGUAUCCGUCGAUGUACAUAAAGUGCUGUACUCUCAUAUCAGGAUUAAACUAUAAAUAACUUAAAGCAAUGGAUCCUUGAUCGUGAUAUACGCCUUUCUUUCUUGGCGCGUAUUACAGAGUGGUGAUGAGCACUGCACAAAGUUGUGCCAAAGAUGUCACAGGCGUGAGAGAUAGUCGUGCAACUACAGGUCGCGUGUCCACGACUGCACUCGCGUUGUGUUCUCUAACUAUACGUCACUUUUCUAUU